rnacentral:rRNA from 1 species
CCUACGGGCGGCAGCAGUGAGGAAUAUUGGUCAAUGGGCGCGAGCCUGAACCAGCCAAGUAGCGUGAAGGAUGACUGCCCUACGGGUUGUAAACUUCUUUUAUAAAGGAAUAAAGUGAGGCACGUGUGCCUUUUUGUAUGUACUUUAUGAAUAAGGAGCGGCUAACUCCGUUCCAGGAGCCGCGGUAAUACGGAGGGUCCGAGCGUUAUCCGGAUUUGUUGGGUUUAAAGGGAGAGUAGAGGGGUUGUUAAGGCAGGUGUGAAAGUUUGCGGCUCAACCGUAAAAUUGCAAUUGAUACUGGCAGCCUUGAGUACAGUUGAGGUAGGCGGAAUUCGUGGUGUAGCGGUGAAAUGCUUAGAUAUCACGAAGAACCCCGAUUGCGAAGGCAGCCUACUAAACUGCCACUGACAUUGAUGCUCGAAAGUGUGGGUAUCAAACAGGAUUAGAUACCCCAGUAGUC